AUAAUGGCAAAUUUCUCCUCUCUAGGUAGGUCCACCGUCCACGCCAGUUCUGACUCCUGACUUCACUUCAAGAUCAUGUGAGACUGACGAGCAUUGCAAUGUCUGAUGUAAGCAGUUCUGCAGAAGCCUAUCAACCUGGCUGAGUGUUGAGCAGCAACCUCUGAUUUGGAUUCAAAAACAGAACAAAUCUCCAGGCAACAGCUGAUCCUGAAGAUGAUCAAAGUGAGCAGGACUAAAACAGCGCCCUUGCUCAUGCAUGGCCAACGCUGAUUAUAUUGUAGCUUGCAACAAAACUGGGCACGCAUAAUGAGAAGGCAAAGUUUUCCAUAUGCGUUAUAACCAUGAGAUGCAUUUAUAAUGAUUCCGAAACCUCCAACUGUACACAGUGA
rnacentral:lncRNA from 1 species